GAUGAAGAACGUAGUGAAAUGCGAUAAGUAGUGUGAAUUGCAGAAUUCAGUGAAUCAUCGAAUCUUUGAACGCACAUUGCGCCCCUUGGUAUUCCGGGGGGCAUGCCUGUCCGAGCGUCAUUGCUGCCCUCAAGCACGGCUUGUGUGUUGGGCCCCGUCCUCCGAUCCCGGGGGACGGGCCCGAAAGGCAGCGGCGGCACCGCGUCCGGUCCUCGAGCGUAUGGGGCUUUGUCACCCGCUCUGUAGGCCCGGCCGGCGCUUGCCGAUCAACCCAAAUUUUUAUCCAGGUUGACCUCGGAUCAGGUAGGGAUACCCGCUGAACUUAAGCAUAUCAAUAAGCGGAGGA
rnacentral:misc_RNA from 1 species